UACGUAGGGGGCAAGCGUUGUCCGGAAUCAUUGGGCGUAAAGAGCGCGUAGGCGGUCCGGUAAGUCGGUUGUGAAAACUGGGGGCUCAACCCUCAGAGGCCGACCGAUACUGUCGGGCUAGAGUCCGGAAGAGGCGAGUGGAAUUCCUGGUGUAGCGGUGAAAUGCGCAGAUAUCAAGAGGAACACCAAUGGCGAAGGCAGCUCGCUGGGACGGUACUGACGCUGAGGCGCGAAAGCGUGGGGAGCAAACAGG
rnacentral:rRNA from 1 species